rnacentral:lncRNA from 1 species
CUACAAACACCAUUGAUCCCUGCAGUUCAAGAAGAUAGAAUCAUGUUGUGGCCAGAUCCUAAAGCACGGUUUUCACUCAAAAGCGCAUAUUAUUUGGCCAUACAUAACAUGAUUGAUAGCUCUGAGUUUAAGGUCAAUGGUGAUUGACCUACUGUUUGGAAGUUGGAAUUGCCGGCAACGAUUAUGAAUUUUGUCUGGCGAAGGUUGACGAAUUGUCUUCUUACAAGGUCUCGGCUGCGACAAAAAGGUGUGGAAUGCUCAAUGUCGUGGCUUUGUUCUGGGACCUAAUGGAACCUGUUAUCCUUG